GCGCCCGUGGUGAAAUGGAUAUCACAACGGUCUUCGGAACCGUUUUUGGGGGUUCGAAUCCCUCCGGGCGCA
rfam:Parcubacteria bacterium GW2011_GWA2_38_13 TS74_C0011, whole genome shotgun sequence.